UACGAAGGGGGCUAGCGUUGUUCGGAAUUACUGGGCGUAAAGGGCGCGUAGGCGGUUUGUUAUGUCAGAUGUGAAAGCCCCGGGCUUAACCUGGGAACUGCAUUUGAAACUGGCAGACUAGAGAUCGAGAGAGGAAAGUGGAAUUACAAGUGUAGAGGUGAAAUUCGUAGAUAUUUGUAAGAACACCAGUGGCGAAGGCGACUUUCUGGCUCGAUACUGACGCUAAGGCGCGAAAGCGUGGGGAGCAAACAGG
rnacentral:rRNA from 1 species